GACGAACGCUGGCGGCGUGCCUAAUACAUGCAAGUAGAACGCACAGUUUAUACCGUAGCUUGCUACACCAUAAACUGUGAGUUGCGAACGGGUGAGUAACGCGUAGGUAACCUGCCUGGUAGCGGGGGAUAACUAUUGGAAACGAUAGCUAAUACCGCAUAAUAUUGAUUAUUGCAUGAUAAUUGAUUGAAAGAUGCUAUUGCAUCACUACCAGAUGGACCUGCGUUGUAUUAGCUAGUAGGUGAGGUAACGGCUCACCUAGGCGACGAUACAUAGCCGACCUGAGAGGGUGAUCGGCCACACCGGGACUGAGACACGGCCCAGACUCCUACGGGAGGCAGCAGUAGGGAAUCUUCGGCAAUGGACGAAAGUCUGACCGAGCAACGCCGCGUGAGUGAAGAAGGUUUUCGGAUCGUAAAGCUCUGUUGUAAGAGAAGAACGGGUGUGAGAGUGGAAAGUUCACACUGUGACGGUAUCUUACCAGAAAGGGACGGCUAACUACGUG
rnacentral:rRNA from 1 species